rnacentral:rRNA from 1 species
GGGGGAAACCCUGAUGCAGCGACGCCGCGUGAGCGAUGAAGUAUUUCGGUAUGUAAAGCUCUAUCAGCAGGGAAGAAAAUGACGGUACCUGACUAAGAAGCCCCGGCUAACUACGUGCCAGCAGCCGCGGUAAUACGUAGGGGGCAAGCGUUAUCCGGAUUUACUGGGUGUAAAGGGAGCGUAGACGGCAUGGCAAGCCAGAUGUGAAAGCCCGGGGCUCAACCCCGGGACUGCAUUUGGAACUGUCAGGCUAGAGUGUCGGAGAGGAAAGCGGAAUUCCUAGUGUAGCGGUGAAAUGCGUAGAUAUUAGGAGGAACACC